GAUGAAGAACGUAGCGAAAUGCGAUAAGUAAUGUGAAUUGCAGAAUUCAGUGAAUCAUCGAAUCUUUGAACGCACAUUGCGCCCGCCAGUAUUCUGGCGGGCAUGCCUGUUCGAGCGUCAUUUCAACCCUCAAGCCCUGCUUGGUGUUGGGUGCCGGCACGCGCGCCUCCGGGCGCCCGCCGCCCCCGAAAUGAAUUGGCGGUCUCGUCGCAGCCUCCCUCGCGUAGUAGUAAAACAUCUCGCUUGGUGGAGUGCGGCGCGGCCACGCCGUAAAACCUCUUAAUUUUUUUUAAGUUGACCUCGGAUCAGGUAGGAAUACCCGCUGAACUUAAGCAUAUCAAUAAGCGGAGGA
rnacentral:misc_RNA from 1 species